GAGACCUGAGAAGCAGAGAGCAGAACAGCUGAAAUUUUUUUACAGUUCUUGGGAUAGCUACUGCUGGAAGUGCUCUGAAAGCUCCGCUGCAGGCUUCGCUGCAUUUUCAUGUCUCCUGUUCUCCUGUGGAGGUGUGCGCAGAGGAAAGGUGUGACUGAGAGCUCACUAUUUUACGUUGUACUGAAACCUCAAUUAAGAGAAAAGUUAAAGAAAAUAUGGCACAAUCAGCAUCACCACCAACCUCGCUGCUGCAAAACAAGGGUAUGCCACCCAGAAGGCAUCUCACAGCCUGACCCAGACAGGCCUCAGAACUUAGAUGGAUGUUUCAGCAAUGUUCAGCCCGUUUGCUGAGUGGGAGGCCGAGAUGACAGUCCAUUGACUCAGGUGGGAUUGUUCUGGAGCUGAACACCACAAAUUGUGGAGCUGCUCCUGGAAGGAAUGGGUCUUAAUCUUCAGGACAACCCUCUGGAAAAGCUAAAGCCCUGUAAGUAUGUGACCUGAGAUGAGUUACUGGGAACCUGGAAUGAUGGAGCUGGGGCAAACUGAAAAAGUCUGUGUAUGUUGAGUUGCAUCAUAGGAUUCUUCCUUCAGAAGGCCCUUUUUAUAGCCUGAUUUCAAGGCAGAUUGCCCUCUGAUAACAAUCUCUGCCUAAGAUGAAAAUAUAGUGCUGCUGAAAGCAUAUUUUUUCUUUCUUCUGUUUAGAGAUUAUUAGAUCAACAAGUUAGCCAGGACAUUAGUGAAUUUCUUUGCAUCCCUGAGCAUUGCACUACUGUUGUUUCCUUAACAGUGUGUCAUCUUUGUGGAGUUCCUGGUGCAAAACCAUCAGUGCUGCCUCUUCACAGAACUGAAUUCGACCUUUCAGAUCACCCCAGGAAAGGACUUUGCCUCUGAAUCAGCAGUAUUGGGUGCAGAGGAAAUGUAUUUCCCUGCAACCAUGAACGAAGUGAACAUGUUGCUCAUUAGGACUGAAAAGAUAAUUGUUAUUCACAGGAUUGCUGGAAGUUGAGGAACUUGAGUACAUCAUAACCAUCUGACAAGAUCAGUCCCUUGUUCUUCUGGCAGAUAGUGGAGGGCAGCAUCAAACAGAUGCAUAGAUACUAAGUGCGUAUCUUCAAAAGUGGUGAUCAUGUUGAGUGCAACUGCUGCACAGUGACAACAUGCUAACAAAAGGAUGCUGCAGGCAAUUCUGGAAUGGAAAAAUGAGGCAAGCAGAAUUUAUUUUUGACAAUGAGAUAAAGAGGCUUUACCUCCGCCUGUAAUGAGUCUCAAGGAUGAAAAAUUCUUCUCUGAACUUGAAUUUAUUCAAGUAUGUCAACCCUGAGCAUCAGGCAAGGCACUGUAAAUGAACACACUAUUACCUCUCAGCAAGGAGCAUCCUGAAUCAGAAGUUUUCAAUGCUGAGUUUCCUUUGAAAAAAGAAUCCUGAAAAAUGUCACAGAAAUUAUACUUAAAAGAACUCCAGGCAACGUGCCACGUUUUGAUGAAUUCCUAUUAAGCAGUCCAAAGAACAGUGUGGUUAAUGACUUCUAGAAGUUUUGAGCAGGUUUAGGCUGUACAGUACCCAACUGAAGACGUAUAAAUACAAAACUGCAAUGACUGCUGCUGUCUUUGUAGGGUAUUCUGCUGGUUUCCAUCUCUGGCCUUUUUCAUUUGGAGAAAAAAAACUAAGGGCUGUUCAGAGUGCUCUGAGCAGAAGUACAAAUCAAAGCACCAAGUACUCUUUGUUCAAACUCACUGCAUUUCCUGUCCAGAAAAAUAAGCAACAGUUGUGACCGCACCUUUUAUAUGAGAGAGAGCUCUGGUUAAAUUGACCUCAAGGAUGGGAAGAAAUUACUGAUAUGCACUUCAGUGCUUUUUCCUUACAAGAUGCAAAGACGAUUCCUGGCUGUCUUGUGUUAGUAAAGCCAUUCCCAGACUUGUUUGCAAUUGGAACUGAAACAGCCAGAAUUCAAUGCUGUCUGAAUGAGACUGUGCUGAUAAAGAAGUCUUUGCCUCUGUUCAUGGUAUCACAAAGUUCCAUAACUUCAUCUUCUCUUGUGCUUCUGAGAAUAACACAGCUGACAAACCAGUUCUAGAGAAUAUAAAAGCACAUCUAUGCCUUCUAUUACAUGCAUAUACAACCAUGCCCAGCAUGUAUGAUUACAUAUUUGUUGGAAAUUCAGAAAGUUGAUUUGUGACGCCAGCUUCUUGUGCCAACAGUUUCCAGUGCCAGAUUGUAAGGCCUGUCUCCAGAUGAAAUAACGAUAUUGAAAUCCCAUCCUGGCCUGUUUCUCCAGGUGGUCAGGUCAUGAAAUUGACUGUCAAAGAUCCAGUAUUAGUGCUCGUUCUCAAGGCAACACUGAAGAGGCGGCUGACAGUGGAAUUGCUGUUAAGAGUUCAAAGCAUUUUUAAUCCAUAAACAUGAGCUGUUUGCUCAUAAAGAAUCUCUUCUGGGAAAAUCGUACCGCUAUUCCUGAAGGAGACUGCUGAGUCAUGUUAACUGUGUUAUACGUGGUGCAGGCAAGAAUUGUGUGCGUGGAGAUAUUAGUCAUACAUUUUGGCUGGUGGCUUGAAAAUGUGUGCUACCUGCCAAACCAGUGACACUGCUUCCUGAACGCCCCGCUACUCCAUGAGCGAUGGGAGCCAUGGCCCGGAGUCUGCAUUGGUUCCUGUGGGCCUUUUCCAACAGAAAGACAGCUUCCUUAUUAUGGUAAACUUAUAUUCAGAAUAUCGCAGUGGGAUUUUAUCCUCCUUGGAAACAGCUCCUGCCUCUGUCUGUGCUCCCCACUGGAGGUGGAAUGUGGUUACUGCUCACCAGCUGUUCUAAUGGUAGAACUGGCCUCCUGGCUGAUGGAUUCAAGGAUUUGACCAAAGCAGCCUCAUUUUAGCUGUGCCACUGUGCCACGCUGUCCCUGUGCAAGUCAUAAUACUGGGCCAGUGUUAGGACAGCUAAAGAGAUUUCAAAAAGCAUUAUACUUGCCAGAUUCCUCGUAAUUCACUGCUAAAUAUCUGCUCUGACAGUCAGAAGGAAUUCUGAGCUAUGAUGUGACAUCAUCUUAAAUCACUCCUCUGUCAACUCAAGCUUGAUCUGUCUGAAAGUUUCUGAUACAAGCAGUACGUUUCUGACAUCACAUUUCAUAUGACAGAAAGUCUCUAUGUGAUAGAAACAGUGGGACUGAGCAAAGUGUCUGCCACAUCAGUGGAAAUCUAGUUAUUUCUUUAACAUUAUUUUCUUUAAUAUUCCAUUCCAGAACUAGUAGCACAAUGCUGCUGGUGCACUGACAGCUCCUUCAACGUUCAUAGAAUAGAUCCUGCUUUUUCUGCUCUGCAGAGCAGUGAAUUGAUGUUUUCAUAGAAGUGUCUGUCACCACCCCAAGAACUCUAUCCUGAGUGGUUAAAACUAAUUCAGAACCCAUCACUAUAUAUGUGAAGCUGCCCAGCUGAUCAGCAAUUCAGACUGAGAACAAUUGUUCCUUACACCACUCACCACUUCAGACUUCAUGAAGGUACCAUUUGCUGAAAAGGCUUUGGGACUGUCACCCGUGAUCUAAAAAAUGGUGUCUCUGUACAAAUGUCACACAAGCAGUUACAUGAUUCCCUCUCACAAAGAGACAUUUGGAACCUGAAAAAGCCGGAGCAAGGUCAAUAAAACUUCGACAUUUUUCACCUUUAAAAGAAAAGGAUUAUUUUAGGAGACAGAAGGUGUUUGGUUUUGCUCUGCCUCCUCUUUCUCCUGGUGUUCCUGCCAUCGCUCCCACCUGAGACUCUAUGGCACCACCUCAUGUUCUCAGCCACAGAGCAGACGUUUACUGGGCCUCCUUCCUAGACAAAUUAUCCUCACAAGGCAGGAGUCACCUUCAAUCAAGGGUAUGAAAAAGCCCUUCUAGGUUCUGGUUCCUGUGCCUUUUAUUAGGAGAAAACAACUUGAUAGCAGGGAAGGAGCCACAUAAUGCACAGCUCACCAACACUGGACUGUCAUUUACAAGCAUGGAUGAGGAGGACUCCACAGAUUCUGCAAAUGAUAGGUAUCUGUUAUGUAAAAAUAAUCAGUUUUAUACUGCUUAUGUAAAGCUGUCUAUAAAAAAAAAACAAAAAAACAACAAACCAUUAACAGCAAGUUUUGAGUCCCAGUCAUAGUAUUUUUAGCUACGACUGCAGCCAAACAGCCAGAAUCCCAUAUACUUACUCAAGGGUAAAGAAAGUUAUUCAAAAUUCGAAUUAUUUGGACAACUUUUCUGUGCUACAUUUUGAAGAAUUUUCAUAGAUUUGAUUCUGACCAACUUGAGGGCCCUUGAGGGGACACUCACUUGGCUCACUUGAAUGGGGCCCAAUAUUCAAGCUGCAGCUGCACUUUCUCAGUGCCCCAAGCAACGUAUUCUUCUCUGAAGGGAGAAUGUGAGUGAGCCAGGGAAUGGUUGACUUCAUUUUAUAGGGCAUAGCAUGAAAGCAUAUUCUCAGGGAACAGACUAAGCAGAAUAAAAACCAUGCUGAUCCUACUUGUAGACAUUACUAGACUCACGUUGUCAGCAGACUGUCAUUAAAAACUUUGAGAAUCAAUGUGGAAUUCCACUUGGGCACUGGAUAUUACAGCAGAAAGCAAAGAAGCAGUCAUUUUCUACAAGAAUUGAACAUUUAGUACUACUCACUGGAGAGAUGGAGAACUUCAUCUUUCUGGAAGGGCUGAACAAAGUGAUUUGUCCAGCUCUGGCUACCUGGGUGCAGAUGUCAAAGCUUCACUCACCCCAGUUUUCCAAAUGGGAUGAAUGAGGCCCUGAUUUAUCUAUGAAAUGUGGCUAUGAAAGACAAAAGCUGAAGCACAAAGCAAGCUAAAAAAAUUGCAUAGCAUUUUCAAGUCUUUUAAAACCCAUUGUUAUAAAGCAGGCUAAUGUGUUGCCGUGACAGUUGCACAGCCCUGUGUCACUCCCUCUGCCUUGUGGCUGCUUCAUCCUUUUAUCACUGUAAAUUAAAGCUUCUCUCUUUAGGACUCUACCUCAGCAAAUGUAACCGAAGCAGCAAACGUAUCUUAAAGAUAAAUGCUUUGACUUUUUUCUUUUUUACUUCUUCAGGCAAUUGAAGAAACUAUAAAAUAAUUCCUCUGUUUAGGUGCAUCUGUCCAAUGAAUACAUGUGGUUUUUACAAUAAGAUACAUUACGAAGUGGCCAGUAGCUUUUCUGCUCUGCCCUGAGUAAUCAGAGCAUGGCAUGCCUUCCACAGGUAAUGGAGAAGAAUCCAUUUUGCCCAUUAAGACUUAAAUUUGUGGAAGAACAGCUGAAGUUUUUAUUAGUUUUCUUUAAUUAUUGUUGCACAGUCAAAAGACUUAUUUAGAAAAUGUGAGCCAUUAAAAAAGAAUACAUGGUGAGAUACAGAAGAGAUGUUGAAGUCUGCAUUUUUUUCUUAAAAGCAAUUAAUUAUAUGUACAAAUCCUUGUUCACUGCAGGGGAGCUGGACUAAGAUGGCCAUCAGAGUUCCCUUCCAACUCCAAGGAUUCCAUGAUUCCGUGAUCUCUAUAUAAUGUUAAUCCUUUUGAUGUCUUUGUUGGUAGGAUUGAGAUAAAAGAAAACAUUCAUAACAGAUUGCUAAUAUUACUGUUUAUUUGCUACAUAUGCUACAAAGUGCUGUGUAUGUAAUCUGUGUAUGAGUUGCUAUAAAAGUUGCACUUGAUACUGAAACGAAUGUUUCUGUAACCCCAUGUCUGAGCAAAGGACUUGUUCUCUGUGAAUGCAGGCGUUAUGAGGACAUUUUAGAAUAGAAAACAACUUAUCAAAGCAAACAUCUCUAUUCCCAAAAGAGGUCCAUAUCUGAGCAGAGGGAAUGUCAGGUGAACAAAUUUUGUUAUGAAACAGCCUGAAAGAUACUUGGUGGUGUAUCACAGAAACAGCAGCAUCUCAGAAGCUCUGUGUUGACAGGGCCUUGCUGGUCUCUUUUCAGCCUUGUGCUCAGAGUAGGACUAUUGCUGGGGCCUGAUCAGGUCACCUGAGACUUUACCAAGUCUUGUGAUCCCUGAUGAAUGGUGAUGCACCUUCUGUAGUGCCUCCCAGGGCUGCACCCGCUUCUGCAGCCCUGACUAGAACUUCUCUCGCUGCUCUUUGUAGCCAUUCUUCCUAUAUUUGUAGGGACAUGAGCAAGGCCAGCUACCUUUUUUUUCACGCAUGGUGUUCUUAGGACCUGAUCAAGAAAUUCAGGCAAGCAGGUAGGCUAUAAAAGAUCCUGUGUUGUAAGUAGGAAUCGUUCUCAGCCAGAUUGCGUUAUAAGGCAUGACGUCUGUCAGGAAUGCACUGAUAUCAAGUUAAUAUAGGGAGAGUGACCUUUAGAUCUGAAUUUGAUAUAAGCAGAUUAAGCUGGAUUUUUCAUUUUAGCCAUAUGGAUCUGCAUUUUUUGUUUGUUUUGACAUAAUCUAUUAAUUUUAUCUCACUAUUAUCUUAACCUGCCUUCUCAGAGUCAUGUCUCCCCCAUGGCUGCAGUGAACCUGAAGCCAUAUUACUGGAAACCUUUAAAAAUUGCCUGACUCUCCCCCAUGUUAUCCCAAGAAAGCUAACAAUGAAUGGCAUUUGCUACUAGAGAAAUGACAUCUGUCAUUCUGAGAGCUGGAGAUGCACAGUGCCUCUCAGAUACAUGGUAAAGUACUGACAAAGCCAUUCCAGUUCAUCUGGGUCCUGAUGAAGCUAGUGGUGCCAUCAUGUUUGGCUCUAGAUGCUUUGUCCAGAGGACAAAUGUAGAGAGGGUGAUCGCAUGCUGCUUGGAGGAAUGUGCAUCCAUACCUUCCCUUUAAUCAGCUUGCCCAAUGUUGUCUCUCCCUGGAAAGCUCUCUGUGACAAGGCCUCCAGCUUAAAUAACAAGGACAGAAAAUGCUGGAGUGACCAGAAAAAGGCCUUUUUGGGCCAUGAUGCAAAGAUUGGUUGCAGACUGGGGAUUGAGAAAAAGAAAAGCACGGAGGAUGAGGUCACUUUCAACUGCCGAUUUCCAGAUUGUGAUGGCCUUAGUACUAAAGGUUCUGCUCAGAACUACAUAAGAAGUUCUUGAUGAAGGACUCUCCCCUCUGUUGUUCCUGCCCGUGGACAUCGGAGUUUCUUCCUCUGUUUUCAGAGGUAACCACUGGUGGCAUUCAUAGAUAGUGUUCGUACUUGGACAUGCAGACAUGCAUCUCUCUAAGAACUGAAGAUGUCAGCAGUGUUUUCACUGCUCCUCUUAGGAUUUAUUCUAAGUUAUUUUUGGAUAUCUUGUAUAACCGAUCUCUUAAGCCCUCUUAAGUUUAAUUUUAGACUUUGCAGAGUUUAUCCUGCUGUGCCGCCCUUUUCCAGAUGCAUCGUCACCUAAUAACUAGGUCCUGCAGAGUCUUUGGAGAAUACAGAAAAGGCUGUCAUUUUGAGCUGCAACAAGAAGAGUGUCUAAGGUUCCUUUCCUUGAUAGUCCUCACCCACUUGUCUCACUGAUUCUAACAGAGGAGAAAGCCAAGGAGUGGUCUCUCCUGUACAUAACUCUCUUUCAUAGACAGAGGAGGUACAACCUGGCUUCAGCACUGCUGUACAACACUCUCUGGAGCUCAGCAGCACCAGGAAAUUGCUGCAGGUUGAGGAGAAAGGACUGACUACCCAAACAUCAACAGGAGGAAACUACAUGGUGCCGAUUCCUUCUAGGGCUUCCCAAGGAUGAGGUAGAAAUCUGUGACGCCAUCUGUGCAAGCCCUGGCAAAUGCAUUCCAUCCUAAGCAUGCUGGCUGUGCACAGGCUCACUUGUGUCUCGCUGGGCUUCCUUAGAAGGUCAUAGUGACCUACAGGUCUAGGUACCAGCGACUGAAAACACUGAAAUUUGUGUUUUUUGUCCAGUUAAUAUUACUUAAUUGUGCAGAUAUGUAUGUAUUUGUAAUUUAGUAUGGAUCUUCAGACUGAACCAGCCAGAGACUAGGAGGCAUAUCUGGAAAUACUCAUGGUCUGAGCUAGUGCCUGGGUGAGCAUCCUGAGGUCUUGGUAUGGAUAAUAGACCUAGAGCCCAUGACAGUAUCUGAGGCCAAUGGUGUGAUGUUGUGCAUCUACAGAGAGAAGAGGUGGGCAGUUUAUCACUGGUGAUCUUGACACUUACUCAGAUGGAGAGGAAGGGGAGCUGGUGGGGUGCUGCUGGUGUUUCUUUGGGUGCUGCUGCAGGCACAGCUCUCUACACUGAUCUGUGUGGCCAGCAGAGAAGCAGGUUGAGUCCUCAGGGUCUCCUUCUCCUGAUCGUCCAACACGGGAUCCAGAAACAGCUUGUGAUGCUACUCUAGCAUAGAUAAAAGAAGAGGAUUCACUGACUUCUUCUGAUGAAGAGGAAACCAAAUGUUUAUCUCACGUUUCUUCUGAGGAGAGCAAAAGCAGUAUCUUCUCAGCCCUCAGCUUUCUACAGAAACUCUGGCUACUCAUUGAAAGUUACCAGUUUAAGACAAUAUGGUGGGAUCAAGAUGGAAAUUGUGUUGUAAUCAGUGAAGAAAUGUUCAGGGUUGAAGUAUAGCAAAGUAAAGGACCUUUCAGUUUUUCAGACUGAAAACAUGAGAAGCUUCAUUUGGUAACUUAAUCUGUUUGGGCUCACUGAAAGAUCUCCCUCAGUUGCUGAAUUUCCAGCAGAGGAAGAAGCAUUUGCUGCUCACAGAAAGGUACAUCAAUUGCUCCACACAUAAACCAGCCCUCAGAAUAUUCUGGUGAGGGAGAUGGAGGUUCCAGUAAAAUAAGUCUUGGCAAUAGAGGAGAUAAGGAUGAUGGUACAUGUUCUGAUCUUCAUUUCUUUCUCUUGCUGAUUCCAGGUAUUUUAGAAGCAGCACUACUGAGUAGUAGAAAUACAGGCAAGCUAGUUUGGGUUUAUAUCUGAGUUUGAACCCAUGCAAUGGGAAGGUAAAUAAAUCAGGAGAUAAUGAGUCUAUUUAUUUCAAUAUAAUUGCAACAUUAUCUUGUUUUGGUUAGCCUAUGCUGUAGGAUUACCCUGACUGAUAGACAUUUUUGUCUUCAGCAAUUAAGAGUCUUCCAGUAUUGUGCUAUCUUUCAGUCUCAAAUAUAUAGCAACUAACCCAUCUCUUUUUCUUUUGAGUUGAGAGAUCAUAGAUAGAUAAUUCUUGAAAGAUGUUUGAGUAAUAAGCCUUCUCCGUUCUCAGGUCUUUUUAUUUAUUUAUCUAUUUAAUGGUUCUGAAAAUAAAAUGUUUGAAUAAGAAACCUUUUCAGUUUUCAUGCUCUUUCAGUCAUUCAUUCAUUUAUCUAAUGGUGAAAUCUCAGAUUGAUUCUGCAUUUUGUCUCUCCAGAGGAAGUAGAAGCAAUGGUUCUUACAUCGAUCUCAUGGUUUUCUGUAAGAAUCAAGCUCUAGAUUCUUAGCUGUAGAGAUAUAUGAAUAACCAGUAAGAAUAACAAAAUUCUUUCAGUUUCAAGUCUAAGGUUGAAGCUUGAAACACAUGCAAGUGCCUGUAGGUUAAGAGGUAAAGUAGUUGCUGGAGGAGUGGGAACCUUGAAUUUUACAUCAACCUGUACUACUUCUUUACAGUUGACACUCAGUAUUUCUUCCCUAGCUUGCCCAUCUGUCUGCUCUUAACUGCUUAGCUGGUGUGAUUCAAUCUGCUUGCUUCAAAGCGAACUCCAGAAACUUCUCCCAUCUUCCCUACCCUUGUUUGAGGUUGAGGCAUCCUGAGUUUCUAAGUGGGCACACCUGACUCAGAGCAUGGAAACAGACAACCUUAAACUUCCAGCCACAGAUGUUUUAACAAUGAGAAAGAGAAGAACAGAAAACACGGAGUAUACUGCAAAAAAAAAUCCAGUGUCUGAAAUCAGACGGAAAAAAUGUAUUUAUUUUUGUGAACCUUAUUCCCAAGCUUGGACCUAAAGAACUCUGCAACAAAGUCUCACUUUUCUUUGGUCUGGUCAGAUAAUGCAGGAUGAAAUCAGUCUGAAUGACUGAUUAUGGUAUGACAUGGUGUUUUUGUCUCCAAAUUUCAUAGUCUGAACAUCGUGGAAUGAACUUGAUUCCCAGCAAACAUGGCUUAUAUCCUUCCCUCCCCCUGUCCCAUGAGGCAGCCAAGUCCAAGGUGGAACAGCAUAAAGCAAAUUUUUGUUUGACUGUGACUGUUCAUACAGGCCUUGUCAUUCCAUAGUAAUAACAUCUGCUUCUCAUUAUUUACUACCAUCUGUAGUCUUUAAGUCAUUGGCAAGUUAGAUCAGUGAAGAUUUAUAUUACCAUUUAGAUUACCAACAAGAAUACUGAAUAACAUUACAGCAAAGCGUGAUUAACAGAGGAUCAUGCUAGAAGUGACCCUACUCCCUGAUAAUUCCUUAUUUUGAGAUCUGUCAGGUAAGUCAAUUUUUAAUUUUACCUAUUUUAGCUCUGCUAAUUCCACAUAAAGGAAAACUUAAAAUCAGGAAUAAGUAUGGUGUAAUAUAAAUCCAGGAGGACUGUGUGAUGAUUGAUAUUCCAUCCUAUCUGUAGUCCUAACUGCAUCUGAUCAUAUUUUGCAGUAACUGGCACUGAGGUAACAGUCUCAAUUAUCCAUCUGGAUGAUCAUUUGUAUCUCUUUGAAAUACGGGACCUAUGUGUUUAUCUUCUACUUCUUUGAAGUUUAUUCCAUCUACAAGCAACCAGGAAAGCCCUUCAGACAGCUUCUUCAAGACUGCUGGGUUAAGAGGCUGAGGAUGGACUCAUCCAAAGAGAAAGCAGUGUAGUUUUGUAGCUUUUGUUUGUGAGAUGGAGAAAUUUGGCAAGGAAGGAGUGGUGCCUUGCCUUGUCCCUUUGCUCUGUUACCAGUCUCAGUACUCACCAUACCAGACUCAUCUUUAUAUUUGCAAUUUAUGAUACGUGUUCAUACAGCUAUCCUGUGUCUAGCAGGAUCAGGAGGACCUCAAAUUCAGAAUUCCCAGUGCAUCACAGACACAAAACGUCCCCAUUACUCUACAGAAACUUGAAGGUCUGUACCAAUGACCACAGAAACUACAGCUGUCAUGUACCACAGGAGAAGAAGAACAAGAAUCAUUGUGAGGACUCCUAUUACACUGGUUGAAUUCCUAUGGCCAGGACUAUCCUAUCUUACAAGCAAAACCUCAGGAUUUGUUACGAGGAAUCACAGUUGCUUUCCUGAAGUGGACCUUUCCCCUUGUUCUAAAAGAAGGCAAAAAUCCAUUACCAUCCUUGUUAUCUAACCUGGAGGAGGUUUCUCUUCUGAUCGCAAAUUAGAUCAUCAAUUUAAUGUUCAGUGCAUGAACAGACAUACCAAUUAGAUUCUGAGAAGCUGUAAUAAUGUGGAGAGCAGCAAAGCACCCUUGCACAGUCUCCAUCUGUAGCCAAUUUCUGAUGCUUUAGAGAAGGCAUAAAACCCUUCAGAAAAUACGACGUGCAUCAAGCCAGCAGCUAUUUUUUCUUGGCUCCUAUCAAUGACCACUGGAAACCCUGAAGCAUGGAUUCUAUGUAAUUUAAUACAAUAUAAACAUGGUGUGACAAAAGGCAGUCAGACCAAGAUGGCUUCUUUCAGACCUCCUCAAGAUACCAACAAAUCAGUUAUGCAGGAUUCAGUCCAAGCUUCCUCAUGCCAGAAAGAUUGCUCUUUUGUCAUAUGGCUCCUUCUGCAAAUUUAAAACUAUCAGUAUUUCAGUCAUUUCCUUUGCUCACACUGCCCUCUGUGGCGGUGAAUUCUAGGCACUCACUUUCUGAGAACCCCUCCUUGCAUCUUCAUUUUUCUUCUCAGUGAUAAGUAACUCAAAUACUGUUCUUUCGUUGAUAUUUGAAUAUAUAUGUAUGCAUGUGUGUGUAUAUGGUACUAUCAUAGCUCCUCUUGAUAUUUGAUUUGUUCUACUUUUUUCUUUUCCUUUCUUAUCUUGAAGGAAAUUCUCUUCUCCUCAACUACCUUAAAAAUCCCACAGUGCAUCUUUUUGCCCUCCCGUUUUCUUACCCUAACUAUUCAUGAUGGUGCUAACAAAAUGCACAGUGCUGCUGAUUCAUCCACAGAAUAACACCUUUCCUUUCUAUUGCAGCACUCUGGCAGCUGGCAGUCACCUCACAGACAAAUGCUGGCCCACAUCUUGUUUCUUAUCUCUUGCCUAUCAUUGAGUACUUGUGACCUCACAGAAUUUAUGCUUUUAAAUUUAUUUAUUUCAGUAUUAUUCUUACUGCUCUGUGAUGUCAGCUCACAUUUUUAGUUAUGGAGAUAAAUCUUUACUCUGUAGUAGCAAUAUUUCCAGACUUUGUGACACAGCAUGCGUAAGGAGUGCAUUCAAAGUAAGAUUCUUCUCUUCAAAUUAAGAUUCCCGUGUUACAAUGCCAACUUCUUGGACAGAUUCCUUUUCUGGCCAACGAGGAGAACAGGUCGUCACAGGGCUUUGUUCAUUCCACUCCAGGAAAACUGUAACCUCCCCUCGAAGUAUUCAUUACUCUCUACUGACUGUAAUGAUGAUGCUGAUCAGUAGAGGCACAUACAUCUGCUUUGUUAAUGUCCACUGGUUUGCUGUGGAUUUUGCUUUCUUCUGGUUUUGCUUUCUUUUUUUAAUUUUAAUUAAUUUUGUUUAAAGAAACUGAAUAAUGUUAAUUCUGUCUCUGGUUCUUUUUUGCAGAUUGUUAAUCUCAGCUUUCAAAUCAGUCUCAAGACUAAACCUGAGGACUGCUAGAUAUCUCUGAUUUCCACUGCAUUCUUUACUCUUUUUAUAUUAAUUUCCUCAGUCUCAUUGUAAGACUAUUCUUUAAUCAGCUUGCAGCCUCUCCAUUUAUCCCAAUAAUAAUAAAUAAUGUAAUGUAAAAUCUGCACCAGUUUCCAGCAAAAUUUCUACCUACUUCAUUAUCUUUGUAUCAUCAUAAAUAACUGAUAUUUAGGGAAGACGUGUGUAUGCAGUAAGUGAUUCUGCUCCUGUGAUAUCAGUACUGCAUCAUUAGUCUGGGGACUUCCUGGUCAGAGGCUGCUCUCAAAUCAUUGUGUCAGUGAUGGAUAUUUCCUUCCUGGAUACAUGCAGUCCUCAGUUUUCACCUUCACAUCGUUCAUGGCAGGGAACUCUUUAAGAGGAAAUAUUUCUAUUUAUCUGUUAUGCCUCUUGUUCUUAAAUUGUUGAAAAAGUCAGUGAUAUUUUUUGUUUGAACCCUGUCGUUCCCCAUCAAUGUUAUUGCCAUAGUUCUCUGUGCUUUGUGCCUUUUUUCCAGUUCGAAGAGGCUCUGGCUGUUUUCCACUGUGGAAAUAUAUGGAUACCUAGCAACCUGCUGUCACCAUUCCCUCUGCAGUCUGCAGUUCUGUGAAGAAUUUUCAGUGGGACAUUCCAUCAGAUGCUUUGUAAAAUCCACAGAGACUUGGUCUAAUGCAUUACUCUUGUCUAGUUCUACUUUUGAUAAAACUCUACCUUUGAUGGUAUCCAGUUGUUGCCCUGUACUGACUGCUUUCACUAAAACCUGUCCUAAUGUUGCUGGCUCAAGUGGUCUUUAUUAUUUUUACCCAUCUUCCUCUCUGAAUACAGAAAUGUGAAGAUUCAUGAAAGAUUCUUGUUACCAAAACUGCAUUUUCAUGUGCCAAUUAUUUCUGCAUUCUCGGAUGGAAACUAACCAUGCCCCCCUGAGUUCAGUUCCUCUCUCGCUGGAAAUUAUGUCUUUAAUACAAAGCUAAACCACCUCAAUUUCUUUUACCCACUCUUUCCUUCCUAAGCAAUUUGUAACUAGCAAUUUUUACGUUCCAGUUGUGAAUAAACCCACCAGGUUUCAGUUAUGCCAAUUAUAUUACAUUUUUCAUAAUGCAAUAAGAUUUCCCAAUUCCUCUUGCUUGUUAAUUAUUUAUUCCACAGGUGCUUCUGCCCUGUCCCUCUCCCUGGACAGCUGCCUAUGGUGAGUCACAUAUUCUUAUUAUCAUGUUGUUGGAGAGAGAAGGGUGAAGCAGUAUUGUUUCUAUACUUCAUACUGCAAAAAUAUAUGGCAAGCUUUUGUCUUCAUAUGUUACAGAUCUAUUCACUACUGCAGGAUGCACCUCCCUAGUUCUGUCUCCUUCUGCAGAUGAGCUUUUAGUGUCUGUAUUUGUGGUUCACUUUGGUGCAUCUUUGCAUAUCAGGUAAGUUCUGCUCUCCCAUGCUCCAGCCCUGGAGAUGUUCAAGGCUACGCUGGAUGGGGUCCCAGGCAGCCUGAUCUCAUGUCUUAUAGACAUGAGCAACCCUAUUCGUGGCAGUGGGGUUAAAAUUAGGUGAUCCCAAGCCAUUCGAUGAUUUACUCCUUGAAGAGUGCUAAUGAAUAUGUGGUGGCACAGAGAAUACAGAGACACCUUGCUUUCAAAAUGGAAUUCCAAUAAUGCAAAACGAGCCUAGAUAUAGUUUUCUUAUUUCUCUGGCUUUUGUGGAGUGUGGCGAGCAACACAAAAAAGCUCUUUUUUUUUUUUAUUGGAAGGGGCAGUACUCUUAAAGUGCAUGUGUACAGGAGCUGCUUUUCUCUCUGAUAUGCAGAUCUGAUUACCGAUAUUGCCUGCUCAUUAGCCACUUAAACAAGAUCCGAGUUAUGGUUCAUUUCUAU